rnacentral:rRNA from 1 species
AGAACGAACGCUGGCGGCAUGCCUAACACAUGCAAGUCGAACGCGUGUAGCGAUACACGAGUGGCGGACGGGUGAGUAACGCGUGGGAACCUGCCCUGGAGUGUGGGAUAACCGAGGGAAACUUCGGCUAAUACCGCAUACGACCUGAGGGUGAAAGAUUUAUCGCUCUAGGAGGGGCCCGCGUCGGAUUAGCUAGUUGGUGGGGUAAAGGCCUACCAAGGCAGUGAUCCGUAGCUGGCCUGAGAGGAUGAUCAGCCACACUGGGACUGAGACACGGCCCAGACUCCUACGGGAGGCAGCAGUGGGAAUAUUGGACAAUGGACGAAAGUCUGAUGCAGCAACGCCGCGUGGGGGAUGAAGCUUCUCGGAGUGUAAACCCCUUUCGACCCGGAAGAAUGCCCGCAAGGGUAUGACGGUACGGGUAUAAGAAGCCCCGGCUAACUACGCGCCAGCAGCCGC